rnacentral:rRNA from 1 species
UUAAAUUGAAGAGUUUGAUCAUGGCUCAGAUUGAACGCUGGCGGCAGGCCUAACACAUGCAAGUCGAACGGUAACAGGAAGCAGCUUGCUGCUUCGCUGACGAGUGGCGGACGGGUGAGUAAUGUCUGGGAAACUGCCUGAUGGAGGGGGAUAACUACUGGAAACGGUGGCUAAUACCGCAUAACGUCGCAAGACCAAAGAGGGGGACCUUCGGGCCUCUUGCCAUCAGAUGUGCCAGAUGGGAUUAGCUUGUUGGUGAGGUAACGGCUCACCAAGGCGACGAUCCCUAGCUGGUCUGAGAGGAUGACCAGCCACACUGGAACUGAGACACGGUCCAGACUCCUACGGGAGGCAGCAGUGGGGAAUAUUGCACAAUGGGCGCAAGCCUGAUGCAGCCAUGCCGCGUGUAUGAAGAAGGCCUUCGGGUUGUAAAGUACUUUCAGCGGGGAGGAAGGUGUUGUGGUUAAUAACCGCAGCAAUUGACGUUACCCGCAGAAGAAGCACCGGCUAACUCCGUGCCAGCAGCCGCGGUAAUACGGAGGGUGCAAGCGUUAAUCGGAAUUACUGGGCGUAAAGCGCACGCAGGCGGUCUGUCAAGUCGGAUGUGAAAUCCCCGGGCUCAACCUGGGAACUGCAUUCGAAACUGGCAGGCUUGAGUCUUGUAGAGGGGGUAGAAUUCCAGGUGUAGCGGUGAAAUGCGUAGAGAUCUGGAGGAAUACCGGUGGCGAAGGCGGCCCCCUGGACAAAGACUGACGCUCAGGUGCGAAAGCGUGGGGAGCAAACAGGAUUAGAUACCCUGGUAGUCCACGCCGUAAACGAUGUCUACUUGGAGGUUGUGCCCUUGAGGCGUGGCUUCCGGAGCUAACGCGUUAAGUAGACCGCCUGGGGAGUACGGCCGCAAGGUUAAAACUCAAAUGAAUUGACGGGGGCCCGCACAAGCGGUGGAGCAUGUGGUUUAAUUCGAUGCAACGCGAAGAACCUUACCUGGUCUUGACAUCCACAGAAGAAUCCAGAGAUGGAUUUGUGCCUUCGGGAACUGUGAGACAGGUGCUGCAUGGCUGUCGUCAGCUCGUGUUGUGAAAUGUUGGGUUAAGUCCCGCAACGAGCGCAACCCUUAUCCUUUGUUGCCAGCGGUUAGGCCGGGAACUCAAAGGAGACUGCCAGUGAUAAACUGGAGGAAGGUGGGGAUGACGUCAAGUCAUCAUGGCCCUUACGACCAGGGCUACACACGUGCUACAAUGGCGCAUACAAAGAGAAGCGACCUCGCGAGAGCAAGCGGACCUCAUAAAGUGCGUCGUAGUCCGGAUUGGAGUCUGCAACUCGACUCCAUGAAGUCGGAAUCGCUAGUAAUCGUGGAUCAGAAUGCCACGGUGAAUACGUUCCCGGGCCUUGUACACACCGCCCGUCACACCAUGGGAGUGGGUUGCAAAAGAAGUAGGUAGCUUAACCUUCGGGAGGGCGCUUACCACUUUGUGAUUCAUGACUGGGGUGAAGUCGUAACAAGGUAACCGUAGGGGAACCUGCGGUUGGAUCACCUCCUUACCUUAAAGAA